rnacentral:lncRNA from 1 species
CGCUGAGCGCGCUGUUAUGUUCCAUUUGGAAAUCCGAUGGACGGAUCUUCGAGAAACGUGAAAAGUUUGUUGAGGGGUCGAAUUGGCAAAAACGAAAAAUUCGCGAAAGGUCUAAUAUUUUAUGCGCCGUUUUGCGCGAAUUCGAACGUCGAGGGGCUGGUAUGCAAAAUACACGCGCUAACAGUGAGCUGGAUGGUAAAUAAUCAG